rnacentral:tRNA from 1 species
GGCUGAUUAGCUCAGCUGGGAGAGCACCUGCAUCACACGCAGGGGGUCGGCGGUUCGAUCCGUCAUCAGCCACCA